rnacentral:lncRNA from 1 species
AGAGAAAAAGGGUGAAAGUUCUCACACACCGGCCACGUUACAUUGAACUAGCCACAGUACCUGUUGGGGACUUGUUCUCAAAUGCUAAGAGUUAAGAACAAGGCAACAUAAAAAGUGUUAAGUGUUAAAGUCCUUCGUCCUUCGAAGCAUUAUGUCCCUUCGGGAAAUAAUGAGUUUCGGACGAAGGUCAUAAGAGACAUACCUUCGUAAACAUAACAAGUAAUGACGAAGGAUUCAUAUAAAGCAUGAAAUAUAAUAUAAGCAUCAUCAUAGAAUCAUUUCUAUUUUAUUAACAUGGAAAAAUAGAAAUGAUUUCAAAUUACAAAUGUACCUUCGGUCCUGAGAGAAGAUAAAAAGUACAAGCGUGACGCAAAAGCAAAUGCCAAGUCAGCGUGACGCAAAAGCAAAUGCCAAGUCAGCGUGAACAGUACGGGAGUACUGUUCAUCUAUUUAUAGACGCGGGACGCAGCCCACGUAAAAUUACAUUUAUGUCCAUUACAUUUGUCAAUGACUUAUGGAAAUCUGACAAGGUCCACGUAGUCUUUUCAUCUUUAAGUCGGUUCCCCUCUCUGCUAUCGCGACGAAGCUUCCCUGCGCACAGCUUCGGCUGUGCACCAUCCUUCGUGGAGCUUGGUAAUCAGCCCGUCCUUCGUCUGGUUCAUGCUUCGUCCUGACCGCACUUCAUGUUCGUAAUUCUGAGUCCGAAGGUACCUGUUCACAUAAUCCACUUGGAAAACAUUGUCAAAUCAUGUUUUUGAGGACCUUCGGAGGACGAAGGCCCCCAACAGUAGCCCCUCGCAAUAUUAAUUUGUUUGAAAUAAUAAAUUCAGAUUGCGAUAUGAACGAAGGCUUUAUGCCGAAGGUCCGAAAAAACACCUUCCCUUUGCUAGAAUAGCAACAUUCAAUGACAAGUGGGGUCUUUCAACUUUCAACGCAUCAAGCGUAUAAAUACGGCCAUACCGCAAACUUAUUUUGCACGCUUUCUGGCCAACCACUCUUGCUCACUCAUUUUUUAGCUCUUGUGCACUGUGAUCUGCUAAGCUUUUAGCUUUGAAGCUUCGGCUUUGAAAACAGUUUUUUAGUGUUUCCGAAGAUGUCUGAAGCUGCUAAGAAGGCUGCUGCUGAAAUGAAGCUGAGUCUUGAUGAAGAGAAGAACUUAGGGUUUCUUAUAGCAAUGUCGAAGACCAACACAGAAAAGAUCACCAGGGAAAUUCUGGAAGGGCUGUCUGAAGAUACUGGUGACAGUGAAAGUUAUGAUGUGGACAGCGAUGGCGAAGACUCCGAAGAUCGCCCCUGGCGACCAAGCCAUUCAGUUUAUGGUAAAUCAAUUAUCAAAGAGAAUCAUCUUGUUAAUAUGAGAGGAAGGUAUUUCCGGGAUCUGUCCAUUGUGAGGGCGGACGAAGGGGAAAAAACUUGUCCACACCCUGAAGAAAAUGAAGUUGUGGUGUACCGAAGCUUUUUGAAAGCCGGAUUGCGAUUCCCCUUGAGCAGCUUCGUCGUGGAGGUGUUGAAAAUCUUCGAAGUCUAUCUUCAUCAACUUACUCCAGAGGCUAUUAUAAGGCUAAAUAUCUUCGUGUGGGCCACGAGAAGCCAAGGUCUGAAGCCUGACGCAAGAAGCUUCUGUAAUAUACAUGAAUUAUUAUAUGAAACAAAGCCUUGGGGCAAAGAACAGUACCACAAUAACUUUGGCUGCUACAGUUUCGUCUCUCGCUCCGGGGCAAGCUGUCCCGUACCAACCUUUCGGAAGAGAUGGCCCAGGGAUUGGAUGACAGAAUGGUUUUAUGUGAAGAAUGACCUAUCAGCACGAGAAGACAUCAAAGGUAUAAUUAUGCGUCCUAUUUGGCAAAGCUUCGGCCUUCGGAGGCCGAAGGUGGAAAUGAAUGAAGCUGCCGAAGAAUGCCAGAGGGCCUUCGGCGUCAUCUGCUCUUUUAUUGGAACAAGAGAUUUAGUACAAGAACAUAUUGCCUUCCGGGUGUGGCCUCUUGCGGAGAAAUGGGAAAUGCCUCAAGAAACCACAAAAGAGACCGACGAAGGUGGGCUUGUGAGACUGAAGUACACCUUCAAGUUUGGAGAUAAAUUUACUGAGCCAGAUGACGACUGGCUAAAGAGUAUUGAAAAUUUAAGUGACGAAUUACUUGGUGCUUAUUCGAAGGCCGAAGAUACCGCGAUGUCAGCAGCCUUCGGAGGCCGAAAAAAGAAGAGGCUGAAUCGGGUAUUUGAUGCAAUUGGGUUUGUUUACCCUGACUAUUGCUACCCCAUCCGAAGGCAGAAAAGAAAGAACAUAACCUCUGCAAAAGAAGAAGCUGGAACUGCUCCUAGCGAGCCAGAGCCUGAAAGAAAGAAAAUAAAAAUCCUCACUCACCGGCCGCGUUAUAUCGAACCAGCUUCGGUGCCGGAGUUUACCGAAAAAUCUUCUUCGGUCACCGAAGCUGAAAAGCCAAUCAGACCAGUCACGCCACCUGCAGCUGCAGGGAUGACCGAAACGGCGAAAAAGAUAGAACUAGAAGAACCAAAGGUUUCGCUGCCAGAAACCAAAGAAAUGGUCGAAGCACUAUCCACAGAAAAAAUUGCAGAAGUGGAAAAACCAACUGAAGAAAAAGUACCAGAAAUUGUGAGUCCUGCAGCAAAUGUUGAGACAACAAAAAAUCAAAAAGCGCCAGCAAUGACUCCAAAAAGAAGAAGAAUGGCGAAUGUGCUAGAUGUACUAGAAACAAUUAAGACUUCAAGCACACCUCCGAAGAAGGCUGCUGUUACUUUUGAAACAACAGCUGAAAUUUCUGGUUCUGCAGCUCCAGAGCAAGAAAUUGAAGCCGAAGCUGGGCCCUCAGAGUCCACAAAGGCAAAAACCUUGGAAAGUGAGGCAGAAAAAAUAACAAAGCCAACUUUUGCUGAAGGAACUGGUGUUGUUACCCCCGAAGCAUCCCCCAAAAUUCGUGAUUAUAUUUUUCGUCAUGCUUCGGGGAAAAAAUUAUCAGAAAAAGAAGAACAAGAGGCCCAACACUAUGCCCAAAAGUUGAAAUAUCCAAAGGGGGCGUUGAUAUUUAAUGGCAGUGGAGAAGAAGAUUUCUUGUAUUGCCUCCCCGACAGCAAGGAAAUUUCUGUCUGUCGGGAGAUAAGCAGAAGCUUCGGAUUCCCAACUUUAGAAGACGGACUUUCGGUGCUGUCAAAGAACGAUCUGGCUGACAGCCUAGCUUACAACAGUUUAAAGGUGCGACAAAUGGAAUUCUUAUAUUUUUGUUGAGUUCAAGAUUUUUCGUUUGUUUAAAACUAUUAACACAGACAUAUUCCUGUCUGCAGGGCCUGAUACUCAGCAAUGCCCUCAGAGCACAGAAAGAUGCUGAGGACGAAGGAUGUACUAUAGCCCUGAGCAACCUUCGUUCCGAAGUAAUUGAACUGAGGAACGAAGGUCUCGAAAAAGACAAAAUAUUGCAUUCCUUAAUAAAUAAAAUAAAAGAAGACGAAGCUAUUUUCAAAGGUCAGGCCGAAGCUCAGAAGUGUGAAAUUGAAAACCUUCGUAAACAAUUAGCCAGAGCUAAAGAGGAAUGCAUACUUGAAGAAACAAGGCGAGAACUCAGCGACCAAUGGGCAAAUCAUUUAGAAGAAACUGUUAAAGAGCUUCGGUCAGCCAAGAAGAAAUGCUUCGACAAAUCUAUAGAGUGUGUCAAGAAAAUAAAAACUAGCUUCGCCAGCGUUGGCGCAUUUUCGCAAGAAGAAAACUUUAUAAGAGGUAACCCCGAAGGUCCCCUGGAAUGGAUCAAUCAUGAGGCGGAGGCCUUUGAAGAAAUUUUAAAUAGUCGCGGAGACAUCUGCGCUUUUUCUGGUGCCAGAGGGAUUGCCACUAUUUUGGAGGGGAAAGGAUGUGAACAUGUAAAGAUUUUAUCGCAGUCCGAAGCCACCUUGUCCACUGAAGAUAUAAAAGAUCCUUCAGCCGAAGCUAGCGCGGUUGGGGGAAAAUUUUUCACCGACAUCUGGGACAACGGUGGUAGAGAAAUGGCCCAAGAAAUCAUUCAGAAAAGCGAGAAAGGGAUUCAUGAGGCUAGAAAAGUAGCCGAGGCUGCUGAGAAAAACGCAGAGCCCGAAGGGCAAAUAGGUACUAACGAAUAGUUUUCAUUGCAUUAUAACUUUUAAUUUUAUAGCUCGUUCGCGAUCUGUAAUAAUGAUGUAAUAGUAUCCCGUCCUCACUCAGAUCCUACUAAAGCAUCUUCGGGCCCUCAGCCUAAAGAUGACGACGAAAUUAAAAAGAUGGCCGAAGCUAUCAUGGAUCAGGUUGUCGAUCGACUGCUGAACGAAGCUGCAGAGAUAGUACUUAGGGAAGACUAAGUGCUAUUGCAAAAAACAUUUGAUAUAUGAUUUGUGUAAUAUUCUGUAAUCCUGUAUGUAAUAUACUUGUUUUAUGAUUCAAUUCUUUACGAUGCAUGAAACUUUAAACACGUACCAUUUUUGAGUCUUCGACGAAAAAACACCUUCCCUUCUUUUCAUGCUUCGUGAAGAAGAAUUUAUCAUUUAUCACGACAAUAUCCAUAGUGUUCUGAUAAGAAAUAUCCAAGCUUCGUAAAAAUAAUCUCCGAAGCUAUACCUCGAAAAUCAAUAUUGUUUCUCCCUGUAACUUGGCAUGAUUUGCCCUUUUUCAAAGCAUUUUCCGAAGAUCGAUAACAUGCCCCCUUCUUGUGCCACAUGCAGCAUGAUGUAUGAUGAUUAUGCUAUGCAAAAUGAUGUGAUGAUGUUAUGUUAUGCAAAAUGAUAUUUUGUGCCGAAGAUACGCACAUUCCUGCAAUGGGGCACAAUCUUUUGUAUCAAUACUGACUUUUUCAUUAUAAGCCUCCCUUAGGAGCUUCUUCGCCUUUUACUUCAGCGGAAUCAGCGUUUAUUUUUCGCUGUAAGUUCUGCAUCCCCUUAGGAACGUCUUUGGAACUUCUUCGCCUUUUACUUAGGCGGUAUAAGCUCUGCAUUCCCUUAGGAACGUCUUUGGAGCUUCUUCGCCUUUUACUUAGGCGGUAUCAGCGUUGACUUUUCGCUGUAUGCUCUGCAUUCCUUUUGGAACAACUUUGGAGCAGAAAACUUACACUGCGCUCCCUUCGGAACGACUUUUUGUGACUUCGUCAGACUUACUCUGCGUUCCUUAGAACGACUUUUUGUUGCUUCGAAGGAUUUUCGAUAGUCCGAAGGUCCUUUUUAUUAUCACAAACCUGUGAAGAAAACAUAUUUUUCUUGUAGGAAUCAACGAAACUAAUUACAUGAAACCUAAACAAUGUCCUUUAUUAGAAAAAAUAAAACUGAAUGAAAAAGAUUGCUAUUAAGGUAGGAUAUUUGUCAAUAGAUGUGUUUUGACUCUGGCACGGUGCUGUUGACCGUGCGAGCUUCGGACUGUUCUCUGAAGUCCCUUUGAUGUGGAGCAUAUUGGCUCCCUUCUGGCUGCUGGCCUUGUUGCAACGGAGGUGGAGGCGGGGGCUGUUGCCAGGAAGCUGAAGGCUGACUUGCCGAAGCAGCAGAGACUGCAGGAUGGUUGCCCACAUAUUCUGGGAUGUAGGGCGAAUGAUACGAAGCAGUGUGCAUGACCUGCUUCGGCUGAGCCUGUUGCGCGGCAGCUUCGGCUAUCUCUUUUUGCUUCUGAAUGGUAACAUGACACAUCCUGGUAGUAUGACCUUUGUUUUCACCACAGAAUAAGCAAAAUAUUCUUCUGGGUUGAUCCCCGAAUCUUCCGCCGAAGCCCCUGGCGCCUCUGCCUCUUGGAGCUGGUGGUCGGAAGGAGCUUUGCUGUUGCCCCGAAGCCUGUGAGGAGUACUGUGGCCUUUGCUGCUGGCUCCCCUUAUCAUCAUUUUGAUUGGAAUUAUGAAUUGAUCUGACAUGCCUCGGAUAGAAUCUUCCUCCGAAGCCCCUGGUCAUCUCAGAAAAUCUGAAGGCCUCCUCCCUUCUUUGGCGAAAAUCAUUGUCAGCUCGAAUAUAUUCAUCCAUCUUCUGGAGCAGCUUCUCCAGCGUUUGUGGUGGCUUCCUGGCAAAAUACUGCGCUGAUGGCCCUGGCCGAAGCCCCUUGAUCAUGGCCUCAAUGACAAUCUCAUUGGGCACUGUCGGCGCCUGUGCCCUUAGACGCAGAAACCUUCGGACAUAUGCCUGAAGGUAUUCUUCGUGGUCCUGGGUGCACUGGAAAAGGGCCUGAGCAGUGACCGGCUUUGUUUGAAACCCUUGGAAACUAGUUAUGAGCAUAUCCUUCAGUUUCUGCCAAGAAGUGAUUGUCCCUGGCCGAAGAGAAGAGUACCAGGUCUGAGCAACACUUCUGACGGCCAUGACGAAGGAUUUUGCCAUGACUGCCGUAUUGCCACCGUAUGAAGAUAUUGUUGCCUCGUAGCUCAUUAGGAAUUGCUUCGGGUCUGAGUGACCGUCAUAUAUGGGAAGCUGGGGUGGCUUGUAAGUCUGUGGCCAAGGUGUAGCCUGCAAUUCUGUUGAAAGAGGAGAAGCAUCAUCAAAAGCAAAGUUUCCAUGAUGGAGAUCUUCAUACCAGUCGUCUUCAUUGCGGAAAUCUUCCUGAUGAAGCUCUCUGCGUGGAGGCCUUCGGGUUUGAUCUCCUUGAACGAAAUGACGGACCUCUUCCGAAGCUUCAUCUAUCUGUCUCUGAAGAUCAGCUAGACGAGCCAUCUUUUCCUUCCUGCGCUGAACUUGUUGCUGAAGGAUCUCCAAAUUUUGAAUUUCCUGAUCAAGAUCAUCAUCCGGAGGUGUUGGACUGACAGCCUUCCUUUUCUGGCUUCGGGCUUCUCUAAGAGAAAUAACAUCCUGAUUGGGAUCCAGCGACUGCAGUGUGCCAGCUCCUGUUGUUGAAGCCUUCUUCGGCGGCAUGACGAAGGUGACGCUCGCCGAAGGUAUUCAAAGCUCAAGAAAUGGAAGUGAGUUCACCGGAGGUGGGCGCCAAUGUUGGGGACUUGUUCUCAAAUGCUAAGAGUUAAGAACAAGGCAACAUAAAAAGUGUUAAGUGUUAAAGUCCUUCGUCCUUCGAAGCAUUAUGUCCCUUCGGGAAAUAAUGAGUUUCGGACGAAGGUCAUAAGAGACAUACCUUCGUAAACAUAACAAGUAAUGACGAAGGAUUCAUAUAAAGCAUGAAAUAUAAUAUAAGCAUCAUCAUAGAAUCAUUUCUAUUUUAUUAACAUGGAAAAAUAGAAAUGAUUUCAAAUUACAAAUGUACCUUCGGUCCUGAGAGAAGAUAAAAAGUACAAGCGUGACGCAAAAGCAAAUGCCAAGUCAGCGUGACGCAAAAGCAAAUGCCAAGUCAGCGUGAACAGUACGGGAGUACUGUUCAUCUAUUUAUAGACGCGGGACGCAGCCCACGUAAAAUUACAUUUAUGUCCAUUACAUUUGUCAAUGACUUAUGGAAAUCUGACAAGGUCCACGUAGUCUUUUCAUCUUUAAGUCGGUUCCCCUCUCUGCUAUCGCGACGAAGCUUCCCUGCGCACAGCUUCGGCUGUGCACCAUCCUUCGUGGAGCUUGGUAAUCAGCCCGUCCUUCGUCUGGUUCAUGCUUCGUCCUGACCGCACUUCAUGUUCGUAAUUCUGAGUCCGAAGGUACCUGUUCACAUAAUCCACUUGGAAAACAUUGUCAAAUCAUGUUUUUGAGGACCUUCGGAGGACGAAGGCCCCCAACAGUACCUGAACUCGGUAGUGAGACGUCUUCGGCCCCCAAAGCUAAGGAAUCAACUCCGCUGCCAGGAGCCAAAGAGCUGGCCGAAGAACCAACAACAAAAGAAUUGGAGGAACCAAAAAUUCUGUUACCAGAAACCAAAGAGCUGGCCGAAGUGCCAUUGACAGAAAAGAUGGAAGAAGCAAAAGCAUCAUCUGAGGGAGCG